AUAACUAAGCGGAGGAAAAGAAACCAACCGGGAUUACCCCAGUAACGGCGAGUGAAGCGGUAAAGCCCAGCGCCGAAUCCACCGUGGCUAACGCUCGGCUGGAACUGUGGCGUGCGGGACGUAGCCAGUCGGCUGGAAAGAUACCAAAGUCCCCCCGAGCGGGGCCCUUCCCAUAGCGGGUGCCAGGCCUCUGUCGGUAUCUAUCCCGUCGACCGCUACAGUCUCUGGAGUCGGGUUGCUUGGGAAUGCAGCCCGAAGUGGGAGGUAAACUCCUCCUAAGGCUAAAUACCGGCGCGAGUCCGAUAGCGAACAAGUACCGUGAGGGAAGGU
rnacentral:rRNA from 1 species